rnacentral:rRNA from 1 species
CGUACACUCCUGCGGGAGGCAGCAGUGAGGAAUAUUGGACAAUGGGUGGAAGCCUGAUCCAGCCAUCCCGCGUGCAGGAAGACGGCCCUAUGGGUUGUAAACUGCUUUUAUCUGGGGAUAAACCUACUUACGUGUAAGUAGCUGAAGGUACCAGAAGAAUAAGCACCGGCUAACUCCGUGCCAGCAGCCGCGGUAAUACGGAGGGUGCAAGCGUUAUCCGGAUUUAUUGGGUUUAAAGGGUCCGUAGGCGGACUGAUAAGUCAGUGGUGAAAUCCGACAGCUUAACUGUCGAACUGCCAUUGAUACUGUUAGUCUUGAGUAAGGUUGAAGUGGCUGGAAUAAGUAGUGUAGCGGUGAAAUGCAUAGAUAUUACUUAGAACACCAAUUGCGAAGGCAGGUCACUAAGUCUUAACUGACGCUGAUGGACGAAAGCGUGGGGAGCGAACAGGAUUAGAAACCCGUGUAGUCCCA